rnacentral:rRNA from 1 species
CAAUAGCGUAUAUUAAAGUUGUUGCAGUUAAAAAGCUCGUAGUUGGAUUUCUGGUGGGAGCACGGGUCGGCCCUCACGGGUUGUACUGUUGUUGCGUCCCGCCGUUUCGGAGGGAAUGGUCUCGCUAUUAAGUUAGCGUGAUCGGGAACUCUGUCGUUUACUGUGAAAAAAUUAGAGUGUUCAAAGCAGGCCUUCGCUGUGAAUACAUUAGCAUGGAAUAAUAAGAUAGGACUGUAGUGCUAUUUUGUUGGUUUUGCGUACUAUGGUAAUGAUUAAUAGGGAUAGUUGGGGGUAUUAGUAUUUAAUUGUCAGAGGUGGAAUUCUCGGAUUUGUUAAAGACUACUUA